rnacentral:misc_RNA from 1 species
AACGGUCUAUACCUGCGGUACCUGCGGAGGGAUCAUUAUUGAUUUUAAAAGGGGAUGUGCUGGCUCUCUCUCGCAUGUGCACUCCUCAUAAAACCGAUUUUUAUCCACCUGUGCACUCACAGUAGACCUGAGGGUUCUCUCUAGUCUAUGUUCUUUCAUAAACUAUGAUUUAUAUAAUUGAAUGGUUACUUCAUAUGUUAAAACAACUUUUAACAACGGAUCUCUAGAUCGGAAGAGCAC